rnacentral:rRNA from 1 species
UACGAAGGGGGCGAGCGUUGUUCGGAUUUACUGGGCGUAAAGGGCGCGCAGGCGGCUCAUUUUGUCAGGCGUGAAAGCCCCGGGCUUAACCUGGGAACUGCGUUUGAUACGGAUGGGCUAGAGUUCGGGAGAGGAGAGUGGAAUUCCCAGUGUAGAGGUGAAAUUCGUAGAUAUUGGGAAGAACACCGGUGGCGAAGGCGGCCCUCUGGACGGAUACUGACGCUGAGGCGCGAAAGCGUGGGGAUCAAACAGG